GUCUUUUUGUAAAUAAUUUAAAGUUGAAUUUGCCCCCUGAUUUAAUUAAAGGGGUGCCGUAAAUUGACUGUACAAAGGUAGCAUAAUCAUUAGUCUUUUAAUUGAAGACUUGUAUGAAAGAUUUGAUGAGAUAUAUACUGUCUCUUUUUUAUAUUUAGAAUUUAAUUUUUUAGUAAAAAAGCUAAAAUUUUUUUAAAAGACGAGAAGACCCUAUAGAGUUUUAUUAUUAUUAUAAUUUUAAUUUUUUAUUAAUGUUUAAUAGAAAUUAUAUUAAUAAUUUUAUUGGGGUGAUAAAGAAAUUAAAUAAACUUUUUUUUUUAAUUAAACAUUAAUUUAUGAAAAAAUGAUCCAUAAUUUAUGAUUAUAAGAAAAAAUUACCUUAGGGAUAACAGCGUAAUUUUUUUUUUUAGUUCUUAUAAAAAAAAAAGUUUGCGACCUCGAUGUUGGAUUAAGAUAAAAUUUAAAUGUAAAAGUUUAAAAUUUUGAUCUGUUCGAUCAUUAAAAUCUUACA
rnacentral:rRNA from 1 species